ensembl:lncRNA
AUACAGUAUACACUGAGUAUACAAAACAUUAAGGACACCUGCUCCUUCCAGAGACAUAGACUGACCAGGUGAAUCCAGGAGAAGGUGUGUUUCGACGAGACCCAGCUGGAGCAGGUUUUUGAAUACCCAUCAGAGGCCUCUAUGAUAGCCUUUACCCCCUACCCCAUACCAGGUCAGGAGAAAGGGAAGGAGGAUGAGGUGCAGGAGGAAGAGGAGGAGGAGGAGAGAGGGGUGUUUGUGUCCGGGAGCAGCAGGAACGUGGGAGCAGCGGCUGGCCUGAGAGUGCUGAGAAUAGAUGAGUCUUGCCAUCGGUAGAUGUCAGCUCGCCAAAUAGCCCAAGUGAUGUUUCAUAUUAGAUUUUUGUUUCCUGUAUUUUGUUUAUUUAAAAUGAUAUAAUUAAUGUUGGUAAUCUUUUUUGAUGUUCAAUGUUUUAUUUUACUUAGGGUCAGGGACUAUUGGUUUUGAAUUUUAAAAAUGAUGGUUUUGAGCAGUUUAUGAGUUGAAUGAUGGCGCAUGUAGCGGAACCUGACUGGACUUUUUAUUUUACUUCUCUAUUUCAAGGUAGAAGUGCAAAGGAAAUAUGAAAGCACAGUACAUUUUGUAGCCUAUAAGUUUGAAUAUAUAAAAGUGUAUUUUUACCAUCAGGUGUGUACUGUUGGGUGAUGAUCACAUGUCAAUGCAAGUUAGUGGAUUACUACAAAAGUAUUGUAAAAGGGUCCGGUCAGUUUAGUUUUAUUUAGCUUAGUUCAACAACACAAUGGCCCUACUGUAUAUAAACGUUGCAUCAGCACUGUAACGAUUCAGGCUGCAUUCCCUCUAGGGCACUACUUUUGACCGGAGCCCUAUGGGCCCUGGUCAAAAGUAGUGCACUAUAAAGGGAUUAGGAUGUCAUUUUGGAUGUAUUCUCAGUGACGCUUAUAUCAUCUGGUCCCUGUGCCUGCUUGAUUUGCUCAUACAGAUGAUAUAAAGAUUAGGUGAUCCACAAGUCCAAGAUACAUUUUGAGUCUUGUGAACAUCCCUCAUCUGUACAGUGCCUUCAGAAAGUAUUCAUACACCUGGACUUAUGCCACAUUCCGUUGUGCUAAAGCCUGAAUUCAAAAUUGAUUAAAUAUAUUUUAUUUCUCACCCAUCUACACACAAUAGCCCACAAUGAUAAAGUGAAAACAUAUUUUUUUUAUUUUUAAAUUUGACGUCUAAUUUACACGUAUUCAUUCACACCCCAGAGACAAUACAUCCAGCUCUUUCAAGUUGGUUGUUAAUCAUUGCUAGAAAGUCAUUUUCAAGUCCUGCCAUAGAUCUUCAACCCUAUUUAAGUCAAAACUGUAUCUAGGCCAUUCAGGAACAUUCAAUGCCGUCUUGGUAAGCAACUCCAGUGUAUAUUUGGCCUUGUGUUUUAGGUUAUUGAUUCAGAGGGAAUGGGUUAAAUGCAGAAGACGCAUUUUCGGUUGAAUGCAUUCAGUUAUGUAGAUAUCCCCUUUCCCUUAUUGUCCUGCUGAAAGGUGAAUUUGUCUCCCAGUGUCUGUUUGAAAGCAGACUGAACCAGGUUUUCUUCUAGGAUGUUGGUUGUGCUUAGGUCUAUUCCGUUUAAUUAUUAUUAUUAUUUUUAAACUCCUUAGUCCUUGCCAAUGACAACCAUAUCCAUAACAUGAUGCAGCCACCACCAUGCUUGAAAAUAUGAAGAGUGGUACUCAGUGAUGUGUGGUGCCUUAUGGCAAACAGGAUUGCAUGUUUUGGGAUAUCUUUAUUCUGUAUAGGCUUCCUUCUUUUAACCUUUAUUUAACUAGGCAACAGUUCACUCUGUCAUUUAGGUUAAUAUUGUGGAGUAACUACAAUGUUGUUGAUCCAUUCUCCGUUUUCUCUUAUCACAGCCAUUCAACUCUGUAACUGUUUUAAAGUCAGCAUUGGUCUCAUGGUGAAAUCCCUGAGCAGUAUUUUCUAUUAAAUUGUAAAAAAAUAAUAAUAAUAAAUUACAAACAUAAUUCCAAUUUGACAUGAAAUGGGGUAUUUUGUGUAGGCCAGUGACACAAGAUCUCAAUUUUAAAUGCAGGCUAUAACACAACAAAAUGUGGAAAAAGUUGAAGGGUGUAAAUACUUUCUGAAGGCACAGUAGUUUCUGGCAAACCAUGGCUAUAUGUAACAUGAUGACAAUUCACUUUUGUUCAAUUACGGUUUCUGUUUCAACCACAAACUGGAUUUAAGUGAGACUUAAUGCACAUGAUUGAAAAACCUGAGGAUACAUUAUGUAAUGAUCACCAUUACAAGUUUUGAUUUUUAACCACUAGUGGAAUUAAUGUGGUAGGAUGAAAAACAGUAGUCUAUGUACUGUAUCUAUAGUACUUUGACUGUAUAGUUUUGAAUGGAAAAGGUAUUAUGUUUGGGUCUCUGGUGUUAUUAUGUAAGACUACAGCACAUGUGUGAUGUGGGUGAAAAACAAGGACCAUGAUUUUCAGACAUUUAAUAUAUAGAAUGGUCCUUUGGAGUAUGGAUUGUUAACGUAUAUUUGACAUUUGUAUAUAAAUGCAUAAUUGACCAAUAAUUAAUCAAAGUUGACGGUUUGGCCUUACCCAGGUCUCCUUUAAGACUCCCUAAUGUUUUAUCUGUAGGUGCUACAAAGAAAACAUUGGUGUCAUAGGAAGCUUCACCGCUUGCUUUGUAAUAUGAGAAGCAUUUUGUUUUCAAUAACAAUAUUCUUAUUAAUUUAUGAAUAUUGAAAAAAAAAAAUUGAUUUAGCAAACUGUUGAACGUAAUAUUGUUGAACGUAAUAUACUCUACGGACAUAUCAAAGUUCUAGAGUGGGAUCUCUGCUAUUUUUAGAGUUAUGAUCCAAUUUGUAACAGAGUGAAAGUGAAAAUGGAUUCAAAAUGGUCACCCUCUUCUGGUGAUUUGCCGGAUGUACAAUACAUGAAAAUAUUAGCCAAAUUCAAAUGGUAUAUUUCAAUAUUUAUGUUUAUAUUUUUCAAUAUUCAUUAAUUAAUAGGAAAAUUGUUAUUGAAAUCAAAAUGCAUCUCAUGUUGCAGAGCAAGCAGCAACGCUUCAUAUUACACCAAGUUUUGCUUUAUGGAGUCUUAAAGGAGGGUUAUAUGGCAACUUGUAUUAUUUCUCAAUUAAGCUUUUAGAUACAAAUGUCAACAAUACUUCCUCCAAAAGGACCAUUCUAUGGAUUAAAUGAAGUGAAAAUCCCCCAAAUCAUGGUCUUUUUUUUGGUCCUAGUUCGUGACAAAUCACCCACAUCCAAAAUAAGGGCACAAAUGUUAUCAUGGUUCCAUGAGAUGCUGUAAUCUCAAUUUUAGGUGCUCUUUUUUACGUGAAAGAAUCUAUCUGAAGAAUAUCAUAUAUAUGGUAUAUAUGAUUUAUGCUCCCAUGUGUGCAAUUUUGAUACUUUGUUUUAUUCUUUCUGUUUUCAAUUGCGGUCAAAGAAGCUGGCUUCAAGAGAGAAAACACAUCUAAUAAAU